rfam:Schistosoma margrebowiei strain Zambia genome assembly, scaffold: SMRZ_contig0010013
GCACUGCUGAGGAGUCCCAUAAUAGGACCAAACGGCCGUCCAGUGC